rnacentral:lncRNA from 1 species
AGAUAGAUUUAGCUGGUGGUGCAGAGAUCCGUGAGCUUGCUUUUACAGGACUUUAAUGAUAUAUAAAAGCAGCACGAGGUGCUCCUGACUGUGGAUUAAUUUGGAGAUGACUUUCUCUGUUGAAGAGUAGCAAGACUCUCGCGAGUUCUUAAAAAUGCACUUGUUUGGUAUGAGAAUGAAAAGCAGUGGCUGAAGAACCAAUCUUCAAUGGGCAAGCCUUCUCUGUGUCUGUUCUAACACGUGCCAUUUGGGAUCCCUUGGAAUCUUCAUGUACAGAACUGGUUGCUGCCUCGUUGAGUCGGUGGGGACAGAAUAGCUCCUGGUUGACAGCAUGGGUUGUGCAGAAGGACGGAUCCUGCAGACAUCAAUAUCUGGCUUUGAGUGGCACAAAGAAAUAAAGGAAUGUGGAUUCAGACCUCACUGGGAUGCUUGGCAAUUCUAAUUCUACCCCAGACUGCAAAUGGACACACAACUGUUGUGACUUUUGUUGAAGAGGAGAAGGAUGGCACAGAAGCUGGAUUCAGAAGCACACAGGUCUGGGGAUGCAGGCUUCGGCCAGCCUGAUGC